rnacentral:rRNA from 1 species
AACGAACGCUGGCGGCAUGCCUAACACAUGCAAGUCGAACGAGCCCUUCGGGGCUAGUGGCGCACGGGUGCGUAACGCGUGGGAACCUGCCCUUAGGUUCGGAAUAACUCCCCGAAAGGGGUGCUAAUACCGGAUAAUGUCUUCGGACCAAAGAUUUAUCGCCUUUGGAUGGGCCCGCGUUGGAUUAGCUAGUUGGUAGGGUAAAAGCCUACCAAGGCGACGAUCCAUAGCUGGUCUGAGAGGAUGAUCAGCCACACUGGGACUGAGACACGGCCCAGACUCCUACGGGAGGCAGCAGUGGGGAAUAUUGGACAAUGGGCGAAAGCCUGAUCCAGCAAUGCCGCGUGAGUGAUGAAGGCCUUAGGGUUGUAAAGCUCUUUUACCCGGGAUGAUAAUGACAGUACCGGGAGAAUAAGCCCCGGCUAACUCCGUG